CCUACGGGAGGCAGCAGUGGGGAAUAUUGCACAAUGGGGGGAACCCUGAUGCAGCGACGCCGCGUGAGUGAAGAAGUAUUUCGGUAUGUAAAGCUCUAUCAGCAGGGAAGAAAAUGACGGUACCUGACUAAGAAGCCCCGGCUAACUACGUGCCAGCAGCCGCGGUAAUACGUAGGGGGCAAGCGUUAUCCGGAUUUACUGGGUGUAAAGGGAGCGCAGACGGCUGUGCAAGUCUGGAGUGAAAGGCGGGGGCCCAACCCCCGGACUGCUCUGGAAACUGUAAAGCUGGAGUGCAGGAGAGGUAAGCGGAAUUCCUAGUGUAGCGGUGAAAUGCGUAGAUAUUAGGAGGAACACCAGUGGCGAAGGCGGCUUACUGGACUGCAACUGACGUUGAGGCUCGAAAGCGUGGGGAGCAAACAGGAUUAGAUACCCUUGUAGUC
rnacentral:rRNA from 1 species